CCUACGGGCGGCAGCAGUGAGGAAUAUUGGUCAAUGGACGAGAGUCUGAACCAGCCAAGUAGCGUGAAGGAUGACUGCCCUAUGGGUUGUAAACUUCUUUUAUAUGGGAAUAAAAUGUUCCACGUGUGGCAUUUUGUAUGUACCAUAUGGAUAAGGAUCGGCUAACUCCGUGCCAGCAGCCGCGGUAAUACGGAGGAUCCGAGCGUUAUCCGGAUUUAUUGGGUUUAAAGGGAGCGUAGGUGGAUUGUUAAGUCAGUUGUGAAAGUUUGCGGCUCAACCGUAAAAUUGCAGUUGAAACUGGCAGUCUUGAGUACAGUAGAGGUGUGCGGAAUUCGUGGUGUAGCGGUGAAAUGCUUAGAUAUCACGAAGAACUCCGAUUGCGAAGGCAGCUCACUGGACUGCAACUGACACUGAGGCUCGAAAGUGUGGGUAUCAAACAGGAUUAGAUACCCUGGUAGUC
rnacentral:rRNA from 1 species